GGCUCAGAACGAACGCUGGCGGCGUGGUUGAUACAUGCAAGUCGAGCGGGAAAGUUCCCUUCGGGGAACGAGUACAGCGGCGGACGGGUGAGUAACGCAUGAUCAAUCUGCCCUCGAGACCGGGAUAGCCGGCCGAAAGGCCGGGUAAUACCGGAUAACGCUCCGGGAUCGCAUGGUUCUGGAGCCAAAAGGUUGGGAUCUUCGGACCUUCCGCUCGAGGAUGAGAUCAUGUCCUAUUAGCUAGUUGGUGGGGUAACGGCCUACCAAGGCGACGAUGGGUAGCCGGCCUGAGAGGGUGUCCGGCCACACUGGGACUGAGACACGGCCCAGACUCCUACGGGAGGCAGCAGUGCUGAAUUAUUCGCCAAUGCGGGAAACCGUGACGGUGCGACGCCGCGUGAGGGAUGAAGGCCUUCGGGUUGUAAACCUCUGUCAGGGUAUAGAAAACUCCGGUGGUCAAUAGCUGCCGGACUGAUCAUGCCCAAAGGAAGCACAGGCUAAUCUCGUGCCAGCAGCCGCGGUAAUACGAGAUGUGCAAGCGUUGUUCGGAAUUACUGGGCGUAAAGCGUGCGUAGGCGGUUUGGUAAGUCAGGCGUGAAAUCCCCCGGCUCAACCGGGGAAUUGCACUUGAUACUGCCAGGCUUGAGGGCGGUAGAGGCAAGUGGAAUUCCGGGUGUAGCGGUGGAAUGCGUAGAUAUCCGGGAGAACGCCAAUGGAGAAGUCAGCUUGCUGGGCCGUUCCUGACGCUGAGGUACGAAAGCUAGGGGAGCAAACAGGAUUAGAUACCCUGGUAGUCCUAGCCGUAAACGAUGGGUACUUUGUUUCGGGGGUCCUGACACCUUCGGAGCAGGAGUUAACGCGUUAAGUACCCCGCCUGGGGAUUAUGGUCGCAAGGCUAAAACUCAAAGGAAUUGACGGGGGCUCACACAAGCGGUGGAGGAUGUUGUUUAAUUCGAAGCAACGCGAAGAACCUUACCUGGGCUUGACAUGCUAGUAGUACGACCCCGAAAGGGUUAGGAUCUCUUUACGGAGAAGCUAGCACAGGUGCUGCAUGGCUGUCGUCAGCUCGUGUCGUGAGACGUUGGGUUAAGUCCCGUAACGAGCGAAACCCCUAUCGUCUGUUGCUACCGGGUAGAGCCGGGCACUCUGGCGAGACUGCCGGUGUUAAACCGGAGGAAGGUGGGGACGACGUCAAGUCAUCAUGGUCCUUACGUCCAGGGCUACAAACGUCCUACAAUGGCUGGUACAGAGAGAAGCGAGACCGCGAGGUGGAGCAAAUCUUCAAAACCAGCCCCAGUUCAGAUUGCAGGCUGCAAUUCGCCUGCAUGAAGGUGGAAUCGCUAGUAAUCGCGGAUCAGCUAUGCCGCGGUGAAUAUGUUCCUGAGCCUUGUACACACCGCCCGUCAAGCCAUCCGAGUUGGAAGCACCCGAAGUCCGGCGCC
rnacentral:rRNA from 1 species